AGCUAGAGUUUGAUCCUGGCUCAGGACGAACGCUGGCGGCAGGCCUAACACAUGCAAGUCGAGCGGCAGCACGGGUAGCAAUACCUGGUGGCGAGCGGCGGACGGGUGAGGAAUACAUCGGAAUCUGCCUUGUUGUGGGGGAUAACGUAGGGAAACUUACGCUAAUACCGCAUAAGACCGUAAGGUGAAAGCGGGGGAUCGCAAGACCUCGCGCGACAAGAUGAGCCGAUGUCGGAUUAGCUAGUUGGCGGGGUAAAGGCCCACCAAGGCGAUGAUCGGUAGCUGGUCUGAGAGGAUGAUCAGCCACACUGGGACUGAGACACGGCCCAGACUCCUACGGGAGGCAGCAGUGGGGAAUUUUGGACAAUGGGGGAAACCCUGAUCCAGCCAUUCCGCGUGAGUGAAGAAGGCCUUCGGGUUGUAAAGCUCUUUUGUCCGGAACGAAACGGUUACGGCUAAUACCUGUGACUACUGACGGUACCGGAAGAAUAAGCACCGGCUAACUACGUGCCAGCAGCCGCGGUACGC
rnacentral:rRNA from 1 species